ensembl:lncRNA
GUCCGUCACACUCUCGGCCUGUCAGAUAGCUUAUCAGACUGGUGUUGGCUGUUAAGAUUGCAAGGCGACAACAGUCUGUAGGCUGUCUGACAUUUCGGGCUCUUUCAUCUGACCAGCAUCCUGUUUUGUCCUCCUUCUGUUAUUGUCAUUGUUUCAGUUAGCAUCAGUUCCCAUUUAGAGGUGUGUGCCACGAUGUCACUUCCCUUUAUCCCAACCGCUUGUGAAACGUCGGCGAUACGGGUCUGUUAUUUAUUUCCUCCGUGCUGACGUCUGUGAGGGUUUUUCUGUCGGUCUGUGUGAGGAACUGUGAAUUCACGUGUUUGCAAAUGCACACGUAAUGAUGUCAGCAAUGUACUUCUGUUUAUGUGCACUUCUGUGUGAGUGUUGGCUCUUUCCUCUUGAAUUUCCAGAGAAUCCAGACGGCGUACACCUUAUUGCAACACAUAUUGUGACACUCUGUGCUAGGUAUGGUACAUGCAGUGCUUACCCAGCUUUCCCCUUCCCUUUCACACUUCCCUGUUCUGUUUUACUGAGAACUUUCUUCUGUUGCUCAAUAUGUACUUUUUCUUUUGUAGCAAGCUGCAUUUUAUUGGAACAGCUCUUUGAGGGUGUUUUUUUUUUUUUUUUUUUUUUUUUUUUUCCAACAGCCACACAUCGGUAAUUACACAAAGCUGAAAAUCGUUGCUUGACCAGUGAAUGUUUGUGCUGCACAGACACAUUUUAUUUUAGGUUCGUCUUUUUCGAGAAUAGAGCAAAAGCUACAAACGUACUCCCGGUGAAGCAAAAUCACGCUGGAAUGGCUCGCUGGCUUAAAAAGUGCUUUUCUUGGCACGUUCAGCACGUCCUGUUCCAUAAGGGAGCCCCCUUUUGGCAUUACAGUGUGCGUGUGUGUCUGUGUGUGUGCGUGCGCGCAUGUUUGUCUAGAAAUUCUGCUUAUAUUUCUAUGUGUAAGUGCCUGUAUUUCUUGUUUAAUAUGUCUGUACCUGUGCUAUUUUUUUUAAAGCUGUAUACACUGUUUUUUUUUGUGUUCUACUUUUUCUAAAUAAAGUCUAUUAAAACGAGGAU